UCGAAGGUAGCAUAAUCAGUAGUUUUUUAAUUGAAAACUUGUAUGAAUGGUUUAAUGAGAUAUUUACUGUUUCAUAAAAAUUUUUAUAGAAAUUAAUUUUUUAGUUAAAAAGCUGAAAUAAAAUUAAAAGACGAGAAGACCCUAUAGAGUUUUAUAUCUAUUUAAUUAUAAUUUAUUUAUAAAAAUUAAAAUUUUAUUUAAAUAUAUAUUUUGUUGGGGUGACAAUAAAAUUUUAAUAUCUUUUAUUUUUUAUAUACAAUGAUUUUUGAAUAUUUGAUCCAUUUUUAAUGAUUAUAAGAUUAAAUUACCUUAGGGAUAACAGCGUAAUUUUUUUGUAGAGUUCAUAUCGAUAAAAAUUUUUGCGACCUCG
rnacentral:rRNA from 1 species